CCAGCUUGCUGACUGCAGAUCUUGGAACUUCUCAGCCUCCAUAAUCAUGCCCCAUCGUGGAAGGAUUACUGAGAAUUCUCCAGGGCUGCCUUGCCGCGUGCUGGGCUCUCAAACCUCAGUGACCUGAGACCGCUGGUGAUGUCGUGGAAGCUGGAAGGUCACGUUUCCACCAGCUUUCGGAACGUGAGGCAAGCAGCCUUCCUUCUUCUCAGCCUGGCAUCACGUGACCGCUCAAAGUGGGGAGGAGGGCGGAGGCUGCCUGUGCAGGGCCGUGUGUGUAUGUAGAGAGACACCUAUAUACGCAUAUGUGUGCGUAGGGCAGAAACCCACAAAUGGAGGUGUGUAUAUAUACACGUGGAUGCCCACGUGUGUACACGUGUGCACUCCGGGAUGCCCACAGAUGUGCACAUGCGUGCACGUGAGGACACCCGUGUAUACACCAAAACACGAUUCUCUAACAGAUGCACAAAUGGGUCUCGUAAGACUUUCUUCUUCCCCUUCCCCCAAAGUGUAAAAUUGCCAGUGACUAUCAAGUCGUGUCUACCGGGUUUGAAGGAAGUAGGAUGUGUCUGGGUAACAGGAAAGAAUCCAUGCCAGAUGGUGCUCUUUUCAUCUUGAAGGCCAACAUGUUGAGAUGUGCCUUCACCCAGAGGGGAGAGAAAAUUCUUAAAUCAAUCAAACAAACUAAGCAAGGUGGGGAAGAGACAUACCACGUUCAUGGAUCAGAAGACUCCACAUGGCGAGGAUGCCAGUCUCCUCCCAAAUCGAUCGAUAUGGUUAACACAAU